GGGUAAGCGGUCUUCCCUUUUCAACCUGAGCUGUUGAAACGCUCCCAGGAAGGAUGCUGAUAUCUUCAAUUUUCAUCUCUCGUGGGAGGUCAGGAUUGCCACAGGUAUUCCCAAGGCUCCUCGCAGCCAUCAGCCAGCUUCAGGUGUUUCAGAUCCUGUGAAGAACCAGCUCUGAAAGAUCUCUCCAGCGAUGAAUUCACAAAUAAUGAUUUAAAACUAUUAAUAGUAACAACACUAAGAUCAAUAGUUGUUCAGACCUAAAAGUCUAAUUUUUUCCCAGCUGAGGGAGAGGUUGGAAGGUACCCUGUGGUUUGACAGGCUGACACAAAAAACACACAUCACCCACCACAGAAAUGCAGCCAUCUCUGGGGCGAGAUAUUGCAGCUGUUUAGCAGCACUCAACAGCACUGCAGAACAGCUUUGGAAAUGAAGAAUUCUGAUGAAAACGGGGACUUUUAGAGUUCUGCUAAAAGUGUUGCUGCCACGAGAUUUCCAUCACACUCCCGCUGCUCGUGAGUUAAAAGGACAGCACUGGAAAUGUGAGCUGUCAAUCUGGGUGUAACAAUACAUUUAGCUCGAGCACAUCAUCCACGUUGAAAGAAAACACUUGUCAAAGUUACAAACAAGCAGCUCCUGGGUAAGUCAUCCUCCUCCACCACAGCUUCUGUGCUCGGGUGUGCCAAGAGUUCCUCCUCACCCACAGCUGCCAACCACAGUGUAUUUUUGCACUGCUCUUCUGUUUAUCGUCUCCAGCGCUUGUGGAUGUGCAAUCGCAUCCAAGCACGUGCCCCAGGACUGCUCUGUCUCCUUCUCCAGUUGUCAGGGAUGAUCAGGAGAUCCUGACUCUGGAUUUCUUCGAUUCACGUGCGGCAAACCUCGAGCUGAGCUUUGCGGCGUGGAGGAGCGCUGUGGAAUCAUCGCUCCUCAUCGCUUGCACAAAUUCCUCUUCACCUAUUUGGAAUUUUUCCAAUUCCUCUUCUAACCUUCUUGGUUUUAACAUCUUUCUGAGCAGACUCCAGACCACGUAAACUAAGUUUUUCUCUAGACUGUAAAAUCCCACUGUCACUGUGAAUAAGUAGGGAUGACACGGAACGUGGCAGGAAAGUAUCUUCUUUCAACAGUCUGGAGCAUUGAAAAUUGUCAGUGAAAUAUGUUCUUGGUUUGGAAAGUUUUAUGUUUUAGAUGAGUGGAGAGUGCUCCAUGGAAAAUGGUCAUGUAUGGAAGCUGGACUUUGCUUAUGGGAAGAACUCACAUGGCUUUUAUAACCUAUACAGCUAACCAAAUGCCUUAAAGCUUUUUCACCCAGAAGUAAUAAUUUGGUCAAAACUGAAAUUCUGUGGCAAAGAAUGAUGAUAGAUUUUCCAAUAUGCAAAAGGUUUGAGAAAUUAAAUUUUAAAAAAUAUAACAAAUCAUUUUAAUUUUUAUAAGCAAAAUUUCAAGUUUGGGAACAGAAAACUUUCUGGUUUUCAAUAUUUGGGAAGUACAUGAGGUGUUACAGGUCAUCUUUAAAAUUAUGGAAAAGAUAAUUGCUACAAGCCAUGGCUGGUCCAUAUGUGAUUUUUUUGAGGUAUAUUUGAGGUAACCAAUUGAUUUGGGGUAAAACCUUGUGUAGAAUUUGAGUUGAAAAUGAUCCUCUGAAGUUUGGAUGAUGAUGUUUUGCAGCUACUGUUGUUUCUCCACCUGGAACACCUGAACUUUGGAUUUUUCUGCCCUCAUUUGUAGAAUGCACCGUGUACGUGAUCUGCAACACACACGUGGUGAUUUGAGAGCAGAAAAUUUUAAUGUUUGAGUUACAGCACAAAGAUCUACCUGAGAAUGUGCACCUAUGGCUGCAGAGAAAGCUGUUUCAUGAUUUUACAAUUUUUGAGAUUAAACACUUCAAAGAACAAUCAGGAUCAAACCUUUUUCUUGCUUUGGACCUUUUCUUGGUGACAUUUAAGGAAAAUUUUUCAAAUUUUUUUAAAAUGGAAAAUAAUGGAAGUGGUUUCACCUUACCCUGCUUCAUGUAAUUGUUUCAGGGCAAGAUGCGCUACUAAAAACAUACCAUUUAAUAUUUUUGUUAAUUUUACUUAUUUACUGAUAAACACACUAAACCAUGAAAAGUAUAAGAAGGCAUUAUUAAGUUAUAUGGGGGGAAAUAGUUAGUAUUUUAUUCUGAGUCAGUUUUUAUUGAAUUUUUGGGAAUUCUUGGGCAGGGUUUGAGGGUUCACGUCCCAAAUCACUGCUUGUUGCUGCAACACCAAGGGAGCUUGGGGUAAAAACAUGAUGAGGGGAUCCAUGUUUGUGGCAAAACCUUUUUAAAAAGUUCCUAUUUUCUUUUCUGUAGUAGGGACCAGUCUUAGUAAUAAACUUUGCUUUUGGUGUUUUUGGUGUGUUCCCAGCUUAAAAUCUGCUCUGGGCUGGAGGGAUUUUGUAAAAAUAAGAGAUUUUACUGGUGGCUUCUGGAGAUUGUGUCCCUGCUUGGUUUUGUGAAGCAUCUGCCACAAUUCACUCCAGGAUGCCUAAACUAUAGUAAUAGAAUAAUAAAUACCCUCUUCAAUUAAGCCAAUGUAAUUUCCUUUUUUCUCCACCUCCUCUCUCUUCACCUGCUCUCAUUGCUUUAUAAUUAUCAAUUAAAGAUGUGUAAAAGGAGCAUUUUACCCUGCGACUAAAAAAGAGAUAGAACUGUAAAAAUUUUGUUUGUUUUCUAACAAUUAAAAAGAGACUUUUCUAAUGUUUGCUUCAUUAAAACUUAAAAAAUAAUAUUUUGGAGCUAUAAAAAUUAAGCCAUAAUUUCUGGGUAAAGAGAAGAAGUCAUUCCACUCAAAAUAAAUGUCAUCGUUUGUGACGGGAGAGUGUUUUGGAAAGCUUUUUCCACAUGUAUUUGAAUAAUAUUUUGAGUGAGUUGUCAUUUUAAAUUGAAAAAAAAAUAUUCUUCCCAUUUGAUAUAAAAUUGUUUGCACUUCUUCAUGCUGAAAAAAAA